rfam:Triticum aestivum genome assembly, contig: Triticum_aestivum_CS42_TGACv1_scaffold_061159_1DL
AUAAUACUCCCUCCGUUCCAAAAUAGAUGACUCAGCUUUGUACUAACUUUAGUACAGCUUUGUACUAACUUUAGUACAAAGCUGAGUCAUCUAUUUUGGAACGGAGGGAGUAGUUA